UUAUUUUAUAUGACACUCAAAAGAGAUUUCUUCUUUGUUGUGUAUUUCAUUUGGAGCGCAAGUCUGCUGAUAAUAAUGAACCUGUGAUUGACCUAUAUAUCAAUUGAAUUCUGGCAUACCCCCGUGGAAAUUUCCCAAAUCAGCUGAGCGCCACAUGAGAUAGUCCGCUAAAUAUUAACGUUUCUGGGCGACUCCAGCUCAUUGAACCCUAUAGCUGGUCGUCUCCAUAAGGUAACCUGCAUAUUUCUGGUAAAGGCAAAGCAAAAACUUUCCAGCCUGUUUCCCAAUAACAUCUGCGAAUUUGUACCACAUUGUUCAAUGGUUUAUCUAACAAUCGUUUGGCCGCACAGAUAUACCUAAAUGUGCUACAUUUGUAGUACAAGCCUCAGCAAAUUAACAAAUUAUCUUUCAUAUCAGUGUGGUUUCUUGAGCUCCCGCUAUAAAAACUGGCAUUUUUUUGUGUUCUCAGCUAUCUUUCAAAUUUCAUAACUGAUGGUGCCGCCAAGAAAAUUGAGAAGUGUGAUGAAAUAAUCGUUACAAAAUAUUAAAAUGAAGUAAUUCAAUAAUUUCAUGGCAUAAACGUGAGUUCUAUUGAAACGAAAACGGUACACCAAUAUUUGAUUUGCCAAAAAAGCGAACCUUAUCCAGGAUUAGCUGACUUAAGAACAGCCGCAGCAGAUUAUUAUUUACUUUAUAUGACAUUAUAUAGUAUUUUAUUUGCAUUUGAAUAAACGCAAAUAAUAUGAAACAUUGUA